rnacentral:rRNA from 1 species
AUUGAACGCUGGCGGAAUGCUUUACACAUGCAAGUCGAACGGCAGCACGGACUUCGGUCUGGUGGCGAGUGGCGAACGGGUGAGUAAUGUAUCGGAACGUGCCCAGUCGUGGGGGAUAACGUAGUGAAAAUUACGCUAAUACCGCAUACGAUCUAUGGAUGAAAGCGGGGGAUCGCAAGACCUCGCGCGAUUGGAGCGGCCGAUAUCAGAUUAGGUAGUUGGUGGGGUAAAGGCCCACCAAGCCAACGAUCUGUACCUGGUCUGAGAGGACGACCAGCCACACGGGAACUGAGACACGGUCCAGACUCCUACGGGAGGCAGCAGUGGGGAAUUUUGGACAAUGGGCGAAGGCCUGAUCCAGCCAUUCCGCGUGCAGGAUGAAGGCCCUCGGGUUGUAAACUGCUUUUGCACAGAACGAAAAGGUUUCUACUAAUACUAGGAGCUCAUGACGGUACUGUAAGAAUAAGCACCGGCUAACUACGUGCCAGCAGCCGCCGUAA